GAUGAACGCUGGCGGCGUGCCUAAUACAUGCAAGUCGAGCGAACAGAUGAGGAGCUUGCUCCUCUGACGUUAGCGGCGGACGGGUGAGUAACACGUGGAUAACCUACCUAUAAGACUGGGAUAACUUCGGGAAACCGGAGCUAAUACCGGAUAAUAUAUUGAACCGCAUGGUUCAAUAGUGAAAGACGGUUUUGCUGUCACUUAUAGAUGGAUCCGCGCCGCAUUAGCUAGUUGGUAAGGUAACGGCUUACCAAGGCAACGAUGCGUAGCCGACCUGAGAGGGUGAUCGGCCACACUGGAACUGAGACACGGUCCAGACUCCUACGGGAGGCAGCAGUAGGGAAUCUUCCGCAGUGGGCGAAAGCCUGACGGAGCAACGCCGCGUGAGUGAUGAAGGUCUUCGGAUCGUAAAACUCUGUUAUUAGGGAAGAACAAAUGUGUAAGUAACUAUGCACGUCUUGACGGUACCUAAGCAGAAAGCCACGGCUAACUACGU
rnacentral:rRNA from 1 species